GCCCACAAUCUAGCCCCCACCCAAUCUAUGAAAACCUAAUACCUUCUACUACCCACUAAAACAUUCUUACAUUAUAGUAAAGGAGAUUGAAAUUUUUUCAAGAGCUAUACUUUAGUACCGCAAGGGAAAGAUGAAAUAAAAAUGAAACACACCCCAAGCACAAAAAAGUAAAGAUUAACCCUUGUACCUUUUGCAUCAUGGUUUAACUAGUCUAAUCAAGCAAAAAGACCUAAAGUUUGACCCCCCGAAACUAAGCGAGCUACUCCAAGGCAGCCUCAAGAGCCAACCCGUCUCUGUAGCAAAAGAGUGGGAAGACCUUCGAGUAGGGGUGACAGACCUAACGAGCUUAGUGAUAGCUGGUUGUUUGAGAAAAGGAUUUAAGUCCAGCCUAAAAUUAUUUCUAUAUUCCUACAUAUACAUUCAAUUUUAGAGUAAUUCAAGCAGGGUACAGCCCGCUUGAAACAGGAUACAACCUAAGCAUGAGGGUAACAUCUAUUUUCAGUGAUUAAGUAGGCCUAAAAGCAGCCACCUUUAAAAAAGCGUCAUAGCUUUACCACACAAAAAAUGAUCCCAAACACUUCUAUUAACCCCACCCCCAUAUCAAACAAUUCUAUAUAACUAUAGAAGCUUUUAUGUUAAAACUAGUAACAAGAAUAAAAAUUCUCCAUAAUGCAAGCGUAAAUCAGACAGGACCCACCACUGAUAAUUAACACCCAUGAGCCUGCAGUAGCAACUAAACAAGAAAACUCUCCUCUAUCCAAUGUUAACCUUACACAAGAGCAUUUUUUGAAAGAUUUGAAGAGAAAGAAGGAACUCGGCAAAACUUAACCCCGCCUGUUUACCAAAAACAUCGCCUCUUGACGAACCAUAAGAGGUCCAGCCUGCCCAGUGACUCUGUUCAACGGCCGCGGUAUCCUAACCGUGCGAAGGUAGCGUAAUCACUUGUUCUUUAAAUGAGGACUAGUAUGAAUGGCACCACGAGGGUUACACUGUCUCCUUCCUCUAAUCAGUGAAACUAAUCUCCCCGUGAAGAAGCGGGGAUAAAACUAUAAGACGAGAAGACCCUAUGGAGCUUUAAACACAGUAACAAUUGCCCUGACCCUAUCUCCAGCCCCCGGGCACAAUCAUUUACUCAGGCACCUUGAUUACAAGUUUUAGGUUGGGGUGACCGCGGAGCAAAAAAUAACCUCCACAGUGAAAAAGGACUUUCCCCUAAACCCAGGGCCACAGCCCCAAGAAUCAAAAAAUUGACACCCGUUGACCCAUUUUUUAUGACCAACGAACCAAGUUACCCUAGGGAUAACAGCGCAAUCCACUUCAAGAGCUCCUAUCGACAAGUGGGUUUACGACCUCGAUGUUGGAUCAGGGUAUCCCAGUGGUGCAGCCGCUGCUAAAGGUUCGUUUGUUCAACGAUUAAAACC
rnacentral:rRNA from 1 species